rnacentral:rRNA from 1 species
GGGCCCGCACAAGCGGCGGAGCAUGUUGCUUAAUUCGAGGCAACGCGAAGAACCUUACCAGGGUUUGACAUCCUGCGAAUCUCUUGGAAACGAGAGAGUGCCUUCGGGAACGCAGUGACAGGUGGUGCAUGGCUGUCGUCAGCUCGUGUCGUGAGAUGUUGGGUUAAGUCCCGCAACGAGCGCAACCCACGUCGUUAGUUGCCAGCAUUUAGUUGGGCACUCUAGAGAGACCGCCGGUGAUAAACCCGGAGGAAGGUGUGGAUGACGUCAAGUCAUCAUGCCCCUUACAUCCUGGGCUACACACGUACUACAAUGCUACGGACAAAGGGCAGCAAGUUCGCGAGGACAAGCAAA